rnacentral:rRNA from 1 species
AUUGAACGCUGGCGGCAUGCUUUACACAUGCAAGUCGAACGGUAACAGGCCGCAAGGUGCUGACGAGUGGCGCACGGGUGAGUAAUGCAUCGGAACGUGCCCAGUCGUGGGGGAUAACUACUCGAAAGAGUAGCUAAUACCGCAUACGAUCUAUGGAUGAAAGCGGGGGACCGUAAGGCCUCGCGCGAUUGGAGCGGCCGAUGUCAGAUUAGGUAGUUGGUGGGGGAAAGGCUCACCAAGCCAACGAUCUGUAGCUGGUCUGAGAGGACGACCAGCCACACUGGGACUGAGACACGGCCCAGACUCCUACGGGAGGCAGCAGUGGGGAAUUUUGGACAAUGGGCGCAAGCCUGAUCCAGCAAUGCCGCGUGCAGGAAGAAGGCCUUCGGGUUGUAAACUGCUUUUGUACGGAACGAAACGGCUCUGGUUAAUACCCGGGGCUAAUGACGGUACCGUAAGAAUAAGCACCGGCUAACUACGUG